UACGGGGGGGGCAAGCGUUGUUCGGAAUUACUGGGCGUAAAGGGCUCGUAGGCGGCCAACUAAGUCAGACGUGAAAUCCCUCGGCUUAACCGGGGAACUGCGUCUGAUACUGGAUGGCUUGAGAUUGGGAGAGGGAUGCGGAAUUCCCGGUGUAGCGGUGAAAUGCGCAGAUAUCGGGAGGAACACCAGUGGCGAAGGCGGCACUCUGGGCCGGUACUGACGCUGAGGAGCGAAAGCGUGGGGAGCGAACAGG
rnacentral:rRNA from 1 species